AAAUUGAAGAGUUUGAUCAUGGCUCAGAUUGAACGCUGGCGGCAGGCCUAACACAUGCAAGUCGAGCGGUAGCACAGAGAGCUUGCUCUCGGGUGACGAGCGGCGGACGGGUGAGUAAUGUCUGGGAAACUGCCUGAUGGAGGGGGAUAACUACUGGAAACGGUAGCUAAUACCGCAUAAUGUCGCAAGACCAAAGUGGGGGACCUUCGGGCCUCAUGCCAUCAGAUGUGCCCAGAUGGGAUUAGCUUGUAGGUGGGGUAACGGCUCACCUAGGCGACGAUCCCUAGCUGGUCUGAGAGGAUGACCAGCCACACUGGAACUGAGACACGGUCCAGACUCCUACGGGAGGCAGCAGUGGGGAAUAUUGCACAAUGGGCGCAAGCCUGAUGCAGCCAUGCCGCGUGUGUGAAGAAGGCCUUCGGGUUGUAAAGCACUUUCAGCGGGGAGGAAGGCGGUGAGGUUAAUAACCUCAUCGAUUGACGUUACCCGCAGAAGAAGCACCGGCUAACUCCGUGCCAGCAGCCGCGGUAAUACGGAGGGUGCAAGCGUUAAUCGGAAUUACUGGGCGUAAAGCGCACGCAGGCGGUCUGUCAAGUCGGAUGUGAAAUCCCCGGGCUCAACCUGGGAACUGCAUUCGAAACUGGCAGGCUAGAGUCUUGUAGAGGGGGGUAGAAUUCCAGGUGUAGCGGUGAAAUGCGUAGAGAUCUGGAGGAAUACCGGUGGCGAAGGCGGCCCCCUGGACAAAGACUGACGCUCAGGUGCGAAAGCGUGGGGAGCAAACAGGAUUAGAUACCCUGGUAGUCCACGCCGUAAACGAUGUCGAUUUGGAGGUUGUGCCCUUGAGGCGUGGCUUCCGGAGCUAACGCGUUAAAUCGACCGCCUGGGGAGUACGGCCGCAAGGUUAAAACUCAAAUGAAUUGACGGGGGCCCGCACAAGCGGUGGAGCAUGUGGUUUAAUUCGAUGCAACGCGAAGAACCUUACCUGGUCUUGACAUCCACAGAACUUAGCAGAGAUGCUUUGGUGCCUUCGGGAACUGUGAGACAGGUGCUGCAUGGCUGUCGUCAGCUCGUGUUGUGAAAUGUUGGGUUAAGUCCCGCAACGAGCGCAACCCUUAUCCUUUGUUGCCAGCGGUCCGGCCGGGAACUCAAAGGAGACUGCCAGUGAUAAACUGGAGGAAGGUGGGGAUGACGUCAAGUCAUCAUGGCCCUUACGACCAGGGCUACACACGUGCUACAAUGGCAUAUACAAAGAGAAGCGACCUCGCGAGAGCAAGCGGACCUCAUAAAGUAUGUCGUAGUCCGGAUUGGGAGUCUGCAACUCGACUCCAUGAAGUCGGAAUCGCUAGUAAUCGUAGAUCAGAAUGCUACGGUGAAUACGUUCCCGGGCCUUGUACACACCGCCCGUCACACCAUGGGAGUGGGUUGCAAAAGAAGUAGGUAGCUUAACCUUCGGGAGGGCGCUUACCACUUUGUGAUUCAUGACUGGGGUGAAGUCGUAACAAGGUAACCGUAGGGGAACCUGCGGUUGGAUCACCUCCUUACCUUAAAGAA
rnacentral:rRNA from 1 species